UUAAAAAAAAAAAAAAAAACCAAAAUAGACGGACUGCAUUAAUUUCUACCUAUUCUGAAAAUUCUACUUAUUAGACCAUUCCAGGCUCCAGGCUCCAAGCUCCAAGCUCCAAAGAUAUAAACUUUCUUCACUGCUGCUCUAAUCUGUUCAUUAUAAAUGUUCUUUAGAAGAAACUAAAGUUAUUCAAUUUGAUGUGCAAGAAGCAACUGGAGGUUUGUAGUUCCAGGCUCUGAUGUUGGUUAAGGGAGAUUGGGCAAAAGCAUCUACCAACUAUAAAUGGUCUUCCUCACAAAGAAGCCCUUUUAAGCUACUGUCAGAGUGGUAUUCAGUUAUAUAAUUGGGGAGUCUAAUGUGGUCAUCUGGUAUAGUUUACAAUUAUCAAACUACAGUUGCUAGAGGUAUUUGAUCUUGCAAGAUGUGUAUUUUCUGUGCUUCUUUUAUUGAUGUUUGGUAAUACCAUGGGUUCUAUACCAUUGCUUGAGAGUUUGGAGAGUGUUCUUGCACAUGCAUAUGCAGGCUGGUUUCUACAAUGAUUGUCAGCGCAGAGUUUCAUUGGUACUUUUAAAUACCAAUGCUAUAGUGAAUCAGCUGCAAAGUAAUUGUGGGUUUCUUGAUAGUUAUUGUGAAGGAUUCUAUAACUAUCAAGAAACCCUCAACAGAUUUAUAACACUAUCAGUUGAUGCGGUUAUGAUGUUGGGCUUGCUUCUCCACUUUCAGCUUCUGCUGUGGUACAAGUUGCAUAACUUGUAGAUAAUGGUUAUAUAGCCAGAAGUUAUAUGCCUUAUGGAGGGCUAUUUUAGUAUCUCUUUGAUUCUCUCAAAUCUAUUCUUGACUCCUCUUUUUCUAAUUUUUGGUUGUACGUGCACAAUGUGACAUGGUGGUAUUCCCUUGAAGUUGAACUAUAUCCUACCAUCCUCAAAUUACUUGGUGUUUAUCAUUUCCCAUAUGGAACCAUUAAUAUAUGUCUAAUACAUGCCUGUACUGGUCUUAUAGAAGAGAUAGAUAUCUUUACUGACCAAAGUCGUCGGUUGAGAUGAAAAUAUGUCAAACCUCUGUGACUUAUGCUGCAUGGGUUUUAUUUUUAUUAUUUUUUCUUUUCUUUUUAUUUUCUGAAACUUAUUCUCUAUGCUACUGUUUACAUGUUUAAGAUAAACUGAUCAAAUACUCUCUUUCUUCAGGUAUCAGUGGGGAACAUUUACAUCCCUCAGAACCAAGUUAUGCACAUAGGAAAGCAUCUUGGACUGAAGUUAAGUCUUUGACUGUUUGGUAACCAUUACUUUCAAAUUCAUUUCUUUCACAUUGCACUAAUUUGUCAUGAUUAUGGCAUCUUUCAUUUUACAGUUUGUCUCAUUUAAGGGUUUAAGAAAUACUCUCGAUCUCAGGGAUUGUUGUGCCUAUAUAGACCAUUCUGAGUAAGCAAUUUUGGCUAUUAUUAUAAUUUCAAAGCAAGUCAUCGCAAUGGUUUUUCAGGAACUGUGAUCAAGUGUAUCUUAUUUAAAUAGCUAUCUCUUUAUAGUUGAAUUGAUACUCUGCAGUGUUUAGAUUGUCUGAGUUCUUAGAGGCUAAGAAUAUUGCAAAACCCGCAGAAGUUGGAUAAAUUGUUGAGAAGUGUUCAAUAGCCAAAAUAUUAAAGUUUGAUUAGAGCUCAAAUCUAAGACCUUUGGUAUCAGGUGUGCAUCACUCUCGUUCGAAUAUCUAUCGUGCUCACAAAUGUACAUCUAUCACGUAUCUACCAUGCUUAUACAGUUGCGUGUUAAAGUUUUCAGAACGCAUUUUCAUGUUCUGUUGUCUGCUUGUGUUAAAGAAUUCUCCUUUCCUAAAGCAAGAAAGUGUUUCCCAAAUACUAACUUGUUAUGCUGACAAUUUCAACGUUUUGGAAUAAGCCUGUGUUAUAUACCCUUAUUGUUCAUGUUGGUGUGAACUUUAACUCAAACCUAUUGAAUACACUGUCAUGAUCUCAUCUAUAACAGACAUUAUAAGAUUCCUUUGAUGCAACUGUUAUGCUGCGUAUGCAUGUUUCCCACUUUUUGUCAUGUGUCAUGGUGUACUGCCGUUUUUUAUUUUUAUUAUUAUUAUUAUUUUUUUUUUUUUAUAUUCUGUAUGUGAUAAACCCACAUUUGCAAGUUGUACUAUACUAUGGUACUAGAAUUUGAUUGAUAAAUUUACGGUUUUUUAUAGUUUAUGGAAUUUGUAAUAUAUAAUUUGACUGAUGGUGUUAUUUCAAUUUCAAUACCCCAUUGUAAGAAAAUGUCCUUGUUUUCAAUUUGCUUGCAAAAACCUGUUGGAAAUCUAAGACAAGUGACGAAACCCUUCCCUUUUGCCACUCUCUCUCAUCCCCUCUCUCCAUGGAAUGUUGGAUUUACAGUUCUUUGCUUAGAAUAGAUGAAUCUUAGUAGAGAUGUUAACUGAAAAUUCCAUCUGGGAGAUCAUGAACAACUGGUGUACUCACUUUGUGUCCCAUUUUCAGUCACUCUCUGUAUUUGCUACGAGUACCUGCUUUCAUAAUAUAAUUUUACAAUUGAUCGACAUUUCAAUUGAAACAGGCAAGUGAAGCAGAGGUGGUAUCCUUGAAACGAGAGAGAAAGAUUAAAGAGGUUGAUUGCUGAAGUGCAGGUUUAAGAGGCGGAGAAUGUACAACAUGGGAUGAAUGGGAGAGGGUGAAUACUGACCUAGUGAAUGUACAAAUCACAAUCUGAAAAUGUCACCUGUGCUCAUCAAAAUGCUCUCCUUAAGGUUGAGGGGAUGAAACUGCAAUAACUUCUGGCCUGAAGAAUAUCCCAGUUAUUAAGUUCUGGACCAUAAGUGCUAUAAUGGUCUGGAACAAACUGAGAAGUUCAGUACUUCUGUGUUUGGAGAAAUUUGAUUCCCCUGAAUCUGACUUUGCCUCAAUAGUCAUGAUAAGUAAGGAGCCUGAGCUGCUCAGAAAUGGAUGUAGACAUGAUUUGUGCUUUUGAAAGAAACUUACUUGAAGUAAAAUUGCUGCCUUCUGGAUAUGAGGACAGUGACAAUUCCCACAGGAAGAACAUGCAUUUCUACACAUGUAGCUGCUAUCUGAAGGAUGUAAGAUCAUUCAGAAGGGGGAAAGGAAAUACAAAGUGAGGAGUGAGGACGACAUUAGUACAUCAUUCAUAAAUACUCAACAGCCAUGUUUAAUUCAUAUUACUAAGGAAAAAAAAAACAUAAAUGAGGAUAUUCUUUUGCUGUA